rnacentral:sRNA from 2 species
UAAAUGAGAAACUAGGGUUCCGGCCAAUAGUAAGCGAGGUGACUGGUCCAAGAGUUUCCGGUCUCAUGAUAAUGAGGCUCCACGGAGGGAUAAAAGCCCGGGAGAA